rnacentral:rRNA from 1 species
UCUCAGCGCUGGCAAGGUGUCAACUUAAUCCAAAGCCUUUGAAAAAUGGUGUAGUGUAUCUAGUAGUCUUUCCUGUUGUGUUGGGUGAGUGGUUGUUUCUACGCCGUCCAAAGCGUUGAACUCGGUCUCACUCGGCCUUGGUGGACGAAAGUUACUACACCCCCUUCGAGGGUGGACGCUUCUCCCACACAACCACCUGGGAGGAAUGUCCUGUACGCUUCCGUCCCCCAAAAGACGGAGGUGUCAGGCGUUUGCCGUACAGCCGUUGUAGAUUUUUAGGCGAAAGGGAAUCUGGUACUUAUUCCAGAACCUCGUCCCGGAUAAAACGUCCCCGAG